CAAGCCGGCACCUCCACACUACCACCAUGCCCUCGUGACGCCACCACUCUGAACAGCACUCACAGGGGUGUUGGGCGAGGUGCACAUCACUAGAUCACAGCCGCCACUUCACACCAGAUUUGUCGAGUUGAGAACACUCCACAUCACUGUCCUUAUGGCGGCGCUCGAACCUCGCCACGAAGCCCACAGUGGACCGAAUCCGACACGACACAUGAAUUACGAAGAUCGUGAUACAUAGCAGAGGACGACAGUCUGAUUGGAGAAGUGCAAUUUAAUGAAGAACUAAUGAAGGAAACGAAGACAAUAGUAUUUGGAAUGUGGAGGAACAGCGGCACAGUAUAUUCAACUGAGAACAGACCAACACCACGUGCUGACGACAAACUCCAUCAUCAACGCCACCUAUAUUCCUCACUCUGAGGUCCCAGUUAGAAUUAAAGAUCUUUCUUUUAGCUUUCCUAUCAUGGUUUUGUAUAGUCACUGAAACAGACCACGAGGAACAUAGGAGAGUGCCAAGACAAAGACUACACUCCCUACCAGUAACUCAACUGAACUUUCCGACAUUUACUGACAAAAUAUAGAUUCCUGUCAUGACAUCUCACGGAGUUGUAUCAUUUACUGCUAAAUCAUCAGUGCAGUGUGUGCCAUUACCCCAAACUUUACCUUUAGCUUCCUUCAGUCUUUACAGUUCUGCCCACUGCCGCCUUAUUGAAGUCUGUUGAUGUAAGAAACGUUUAAUAUUUUGAUAUCUCGUAUUAUGACUAGUACACAUAACAGAGGUGAAGAAAGGAAGACCGAAAAAGAGGUGGUCGAUUGUGUGAAGGAGGGUGUAAGACAGAAAAGGAUUUACGAAGGAGAAGCAUACAAUACAACCACAUGGAGAAGGUUCAUCCCAAACAGUGACCCCUUAUAGAAAAGUGACACAAACUGAGAUAAUGAUUCGCACACAUGAUGCUGAUGCGUCGUAAGUUUAGGUAGUUUACUAAAGAAGUGUAUAAUGUCUUAAUGUAGCCAAUUUUACCAUGAUCUCUGUGUCUACGCGGUGAGCGCAUUGUUACUCGUAGCACUGGAGCUUUUCGUCUCAUCAACUCCUCUCCUCUAACUGACUGUCUUCAGCCUCUCUCUCACCGCCGCAAUGUUGCAUAUCUAGCUGUCUUCUACCGCUAUUUUCAUGCUAACUGCUCUUCUGAUCUUGCUAACUGCAUGCCUCCCCUCCUCCCGCGGCCUCGCUGCACAAGACUUUCUUCUUUCUCCCACCCCUAUUCUGUCCACCUCUCUAACGCAAGAGUUAACCAGUAUUCUCAAUCAUUCAUCCCUUUCUCUGGUAAACUCUGGAACUCCCUGCCUGCUUCUGUAUUUCCACCUUCCUAUGACUUGAAUUCCUUCAAGAGGGAGGUUUCAAGACACUUAUUCAUCAAUUUUUGACCACUGCUUUGACCCUUUUAUGGGACUGGCAUUUCAGUGGGCAUUUUUUUUUUAUUGGAUUUUUGUUGCCCUUGGCCAGUGUCCUUCCUACAUAAAAAAAAACAAAACAAAACAGUAUUUCAUGCAUGGACGAGUAAGGCCACGUUAUAAGAGUAAGCAAGUGGGAGAGGCGACACAGAACACCGCCACCUAAUUUCAUGGAAGCUGUUUUGACAAGAGAGGAGAUUUUCAAGAUAAUGGCAUAAGCGAUAUAACAAAGGUGAUAAAGAAAACAGUCCCUAAGGCUAAUAAUCAUGACUGAAUUAGAGGUAACGAGUUCAAGGUUGAUAAAGUUAGAUUUAUAAAAGAGACGAAGAAAUUAGUUCUCAGAGUGAUAGAUGACUGGAACAGACCCAGUGAUCAGGUUGUUAGUGCCUAAUCAAUAGACCCAGUGAUCAGGUUGUUAGUGCCUAAUCAAUAGGGAUUUUUAAAGAUUAGACCAAUACAUAGAUGAGAAUGAUAGAUGUGUAUGUACAGAAACUGCCACGUGUAUUCCUGAUGGCUUUAUAAAGCUUCCCUUAUGCCUUAUGUUCGUAUGUUCUUACCACCACCACCACCA